UACAGAGGGGGCAAGCGUUGUUCGGAAUGACUGGGCGUAAAGGGCGCGUAGGCGGUUUAGACAGGCAGAUGUGAAAUUCCCGGGCUUAACCUGGGGGCUGCAUUUGAUACGUCUAGGCUUGAGUGAGGAAGAGGGUUGUGGAAUUCCCAGUGUAGAGGUGAAAUUCGUAGAUAUCGAGAGGAACAUCGGUGGCGAAGGCGGCCUUCUGGACGGUGACUGACGCUGAGGUGCGAAAGCGUGGGGAGCAAACAGG
rnacentral:rRNA from 1 species